CCUGUCCCUGCCCCUGCCACCGUCCCUCACUCUCUGUCUAUAACCAUCUUUACUUCCAUCCCUCUCUCUGUACAUCUCCCCCCCUCUCCAUUUCUGUCUCUCUUUCUCCCUCACUCUAUCCCAUGCUGCGUUCCCCUCAGUGUCCCCCUCACUUUUACUGUGCAGAUGUUUCAGUUCUCUUCUGUUGUCAUCUCUCACUCUCUCUUUCCUCUUCUCUCCAUCACUGUCUCCCUCACUCCUGGUGUCCCUCUGUCCCUCUGUAUUUCCUUCCCUCCUUCCAUCCCUGCCCUCUCUAUCCGAAUAGUUCUGUGAAUCUCCCUCUCUUCCUCGAACGUCCCUUUCUCCCUGCCAGAGUUUUGGCCUCUCUCGCUCUCCAUCCAUAUACCUCUCUCUUUUGCUCCAUAGGCCAUUGCCCUUUGAGUCCCUCUCUCUUCUCCUCUCUCUGAAAUCUGGCUCCGCUUCCCUCGCUCUCUCCCUCCGUCUCACUGUCUUAUCCUCCAUGGGCCUCCCUCCAUUUUUCUCUCCGUCCUCCUGUGCCCUGAUUCUCUCCCUCUCCCUCUCCCUGUGCCUUUGGAAGUCCCUCUCCCUCUCCCUGUGCCUUUGGAAGUCCCUCUCUGCAUCUCGAUACCGCUGUAUCUUUGCUGCUGUCUCUCGUUCUCUCUCCCAGUCGUCCAUCUCUGUUCCCUUCGGUCUCUCCAAUUGUCUCAUUCCUUCUUUCCCCACAUCUUCCUCCACAAAUGCACGUAUUCUUCUGUCUCUCUCUUUGCUAUGUUUUAUAAUUGUAGGAAACGUGUCUCCUUUCUUUCUCUCCUUUUCUCUGUCUCUGUGGUUCCUGAUCUCCAGAUUUGAAGUAGGUCUUCCAUUGGCACGUCUCUCUACCGCUCCCCCCCUUUCUCUCUCUCUCCAUUCCCUUUCCUCCUCCCUCCCUCUGGAUAUGGGGGAACAGUCCUCUCUGUUCCUCUCUCUUGGUCCGGGUUCCAUCUCUUUUCUUCUAUUUCUUGUCUUGUCCUUAAAUCUCUCCAUUUCUCUUUCUCUCCUCCAUUCCUCCUCUCGGAUCCUCUCCCUCUCUCUGUCUGUCCGGGCCACAGUUCCAGGUCUGGGACUUGUUUCACGGCAGAUCUGGCUGAUUGGCUGAGGGUUCAAGUAGGAAGCGCUUUGAUUGGAUGGAUCAGAUGUGUCAAAGGGAGUCAGACUGGGGCGUUUGGUGCCCAUGGUAACAUACUUUUUUCAGAACCUGAAAGAUGGUAAUAUUCUCUCAUUAAUUUAUAAUUCAUCACAAUCUGGACAUUCUGCAAGGAUACUGC
ensembl:lncRNA